GCAUUAAUGGGGUAGUGGUAACCUGGGUCGUUGCCAUUGUUAUGUCCUUCGACCCGCCGGGGGUUCGAUUCCCCCUUAAUGCA